GUGCUCACUUUGGCAGCACAUAUACUAAAAAUUGAAACAAUACAGAGAAGAUUAGCAUGGCCCCUGCGCAAGGAUGACACACAAGAUCAUCAUCAAAGAUUUAU